rnacentral:rRNA from 1 species
GUGAGCGCUGGCGGUAGGCCUAACACAUGCAAGUCGCACGGCAGCACAGUAAGAGCUUGCUCUUACGGGUGGCGAGUGGCGGACGGGUGAGGAAUACAUCGGAAUCUACUUUUUCGUGGGGGAUAACGUAGGGAAACUUACGCUAAUACCGCAUACGACCUACGGGUGAAAGCAGGGGAUCUUCGGACCUUGCGCGAUUGAAUGAGCCGAUGUCGGAUUAGCUAGUUGGCGGGGUAAAGGCCCACCAAGGCGACGAUCCGUAGCUGGUCUGAGAGGAUGAUCAGCCACACUGGAACUGAGACACGGUCCAGACUCCUACGGGAGGCAGCAGUGGGGAAUAUUGGACAAUGGGCGCAAGCCUGAUCCAGCCAUACCGCGUGGGUGAAGAAGGCCUUCGGGUUGUAAAGCCCUUUUGUUGGGAAAGAAAAGCAGCAGGUUAAUACCCCGCUGUUCUGACGGUACCCAAAGAAUAAGCACCGGCUAACUUCGUG